UACGGGGGGGGCAAGCGUUGUUCGGAAUUACUGGGCGUAAAGGGCUCGUAGGCGGCCAACUAAGUCAGACGUGAAAUCCCUCGGCUUAACCGGGGAACUGCGUCUGAUACUGGAUGGCUCGAGUUUGGGAGAGGGAUGCGGAAUUCCAGGUGUAGCGGUGAAAUGCGUAGAUAUCUGGAGGAACACCGGUGGCGAAGGCGGCAUCCUGGACCAACACUGACGCUGAGGAGCGAAAGCCAGGGGAGCAAACAGG
rnacentral:rRNA from 1 species